GAUGAACGUUGGCGGCGUGCCUAACACAUGCAAGUCGAACGCGAAAGGAUUCUUCGGAAUCCGAGUAGAGUGGCGAACGGGUGAGUAACGCGUAGGAAACCUGCCUUUUAGUGGGGGACAACAGUUGGAAACGACUGCUAAUACCGCAUAUGAUUGCAGAGACACAUGUUUUUGCGAUCAAAGAUGGCCUCUUCUUGAAAGCUAUCGCUAAUAGAGGGUCCUGCGUUGUAUCAGAUAGUUGGUGAGGUAAUGGCUCACCAAGUCUAAGACGCAUAGCCGGCCUGAGAGGGUGUACGGCCACACUGGGACUGAGAUACGGCCCAGACUCCUACGGGAGGCAGCAGUGAGGAAUUUUCCGCAAUGGGGGCAACCCUGACGGAGCGACGCCGCGUGAAGGAAGAAGGGUUUCGGCUCGUAAACUUCUUUUCAGUUGUGAGGAAAGGAAGUUGGUUAAUACCCAGUUUCUGUGACGUUAGCAACAGAAGAAGCACCGGCUAACUCCGUGCCAGCAGCCGCGGUAAUACGGAGGGUGCGAGCGUUAAUCGGAAUUACUGGGCGUAAAGCGCACGCAGGCGGUUUGUUAAGCUAGAUGUGAAAGCCCCGGGCUCAACCUGGGAAUAGCAUUCGAUACUGUUUGACUAGAGUACAGUAGAGAGAAGUGGAAUUCCAAGUGUAGCGGUGAAAUGCGUAGAUAUCUGGAGGAACAUCAGUGGCGAAGGCGACUCCCUGGCCAAAGACUGACGCUCAUGUGCGAAAGUGUGGGUAGCGAACAGGAUUAGAUACCCUGGUAGUCCACACCGUAAACGAUGUCUACUAGCUGUUUGUGGAUUUAAUCCGUGAGUAGCGAAGCUAACGCGAUAAGUAGACCGCCUGGGGAGUACGGCCGCAAGGUUAAAACUCAAAUGAAUUGACGGGGGCCCGCACAAGCGGUGGAGCAUGUGGUUUAAUUCGAUGCAACGCGAAGAACCUUACCUACUCUUGACAUCCAGUGAACAUUGCAGAGAUGAAUUGGUGCCUUCGGGAAUCUAGAUACAGGUGCUGCAUGGCUGUCGUCAGCUCGUGUCGUGAGAUGUUGGGUUAAGUCCCGCAACGAGCGCAACCCUUGUCCUUAGUUGCCAGCCUUAAGUUGGGCACUCUAAGGAGACUGCCGGUGACAAACCGGAGGAAGGUGGGGACGACGUCAAGUCAUCAUGGCCCUUACGAGUAGGGCUACACACGUGCUACAAUGGUGAGUACAGAGGGAAGCGAACCUGCGAGGGUAAGCGGAUCCCUUAAAGCUCGUCGUAGUCCGGCUUGGAGUCUGCAACUCGACUCCAUGAAGUCGUAAUCGCUACUAAUCGCAAAUCAGAAUGUUGCGGUGAAUACGUUCCCGGACGUUGUACACACCGCCCGUCACACCAUGGGAGUGGGUCGCAAAAGAAGUAGCUAGUCUAACCUUCGGGAGGACGGUUACCACUUUGUGAUUCAUGACUGGGGUGA
rnacentral:rRNA from 1 species